rnacentral:tRNA from 1 species
CCGCCAUUAGCUCAUCGGGAAGAGCGACGACCGGGAUGUUGUAGUACGGGGUUCGAGUCCUUGAUGGCGGUCCA